rnacentral:rRNA from 1 species
UACGUAGGGACCGAGCGUUGUCCGGAAUCAUUGGGCGUAAAGAGCGUGUAGGCGGCCACUUAAGUCCUGCGUGAAAUCUUGCGGCUCAACCGCAAGCGGUCGUGGGAAACUGGGUGGCUAGAGUGCGGGAGAGGAGAGUGGAAUUCCUGGUGUAGCGGUGGAAUGCGCAGAUAUCAGGAAGAACACCCGUGGCGAAGGCGGCUCUCUGGGACGGUACUGACGCUGAGACGCGAAAGCGUGGGGAGCAAACAGG